GCCGGGAUGGCGGAACUGGCAGACGCAGCGGACUCAAAAUCCGCCGGACUUCGGUCCUUGGGGGUUCAAGUCCCCCUCCCGGCACCA
rnacentral:tRNA from 1 species